ACAAUAACAAAGAUAUAUAGCUGACAAGAGGUCAUCAUCCUGUCAUGUCUACAGAUGGUUCUGCUGCUGCCAACACAAAUACAUCACCCAGAGCCCACCCACACAACAGACACAGUCACAGCCUUUAUUAAAUAAAAACUCACAAUUUACACUGAGUAUCCUGACCAGGGCUAAAAAAGAGAGAGCUCAAAUAAAUAAACAAUCAAUCCAGGAUCCAGAAACACACUGCACAGCUGCAUCAACCUGCCUCGAGGACACAGACAGAGUGAAAGAAACCACGUGACGUCAGCUGACCUGCUCCAGCAGGAUUCUUUUUUACAAACAAGAAAAACUUUAAUCAGUUAAACAAAAACGAACACUGCAGGUCAGCAGAUAACGGCUCUGUGCUGCCCGGAGGGCUGUUAACGGCAGCUAAACCUGACGAAGCAGGCACAGGAGGAAAGGGGCAGCGAUCUAAUACCCCUGAGGAAGUCCUAAGGGACGAAACGCGUCGGGUUCUACAUCUGAUCAAACCUAAUUGGUGCAUAUUGGAAUUGGGUUCUGCAUCUGAUCAAACCUAAUUGAGUUCAUUGCGGCUCAAUAAAAGGACAUCCUGUUGGAGUUGCUGUCUCACUCCUGGUUCAUAUCAAUCUAUCCUACCUCUCUGAUCAAGGCACUACAAACAAGUCCAAUUCAAGCAACAAAACAACAGAGAAAAACUCAUAUAUCACCAACUUGUAAUCCAAUGUUGAUUGACAAAGGAUGUUCAGAGUAUUGUAUUACUGUCAAU